UACGAAGGGGGCAAGCGUUGUUCGGAAUUAUUGGGCGUAAAGGGAGCGUAGGCGGUUCGGCAAGUCUUUAGUGAAAUCUCUGGGCUCAACUCAGAGUCUGCUGGAGAAACUGCCGGGCUGGAGUAUGGGAGAGGUGAGUGGAAUUCCGGGUGUAGCGGUGGAAUGCGUAGAGAUCCGGAAGAACACCGGUGGCGAAGGCGGCCUGCUGGGCAGUUGCUGACACUGAGGCGCGACAGCGUGGGGAGCAAACAGG
rnacentral:rRNA from 1 species